ACAGAUUGGGGAAUCUUGCGCAAUGGGCGAAAGCCUGACGCAGCGACGCCGUGUGCGGGAAGAAGGCCUUCGGGUUGUAAACCGCUUUCAGGAGGGACAUCGAAGCCACUCAGGUUAAUAGCCGAGAGGGUGACGGUACCUCCAGAAGAAGCCCCGGCUAACUACGUGCCAGCAGCCGUUCGGUAAUACGUAGGGGGCUAGCGUUGUCCGGAUUUAUUGGGCGUAAAGAGCGUGUAGGCGGCCAAGUAAGUCCGGUGUGAAAACUCGAGGCUUAACCUCGAGAUGUCAUCGGAAACUAUUUGGCUAGAGUCCGGAAGAGGAGA
rnacentral:rRNA from 1 species